rnacentral:rRNA from 1 species
GUCUCAGUUCAGAUUGCAGGCUGCAACCCGCCUGCAUGAAGUCGGAAUUGCUAGUAAUCGCGGAUCAGCAUGCCGCGGUGAAUACGUUCCCGGGCCUUGUACACACCGCCCGUCACACCAUGGGAGCCGGUAAUACCCGAAGUCAGUAGUCCAACCUCGUGAGGACGCUGCCGAAGGUAGGAUUGGCGACUGGGGUGAAGUCGUAACAAGGUAAC